UCCUCUGAGAAACUGUCCCCAGGACGGUAUA
rnacentral:piRNA from 1 species